UCGCCUCUGCCUUGUUGCUGAAGUUCUUUUGGUUGAAAGUGGGACCACUGGAUUUCUCGGACAGGUGAGGUGACCAAAUAUCAUGGUUUUUGUCUCUAUAUCUUUGCAUCUCCCUUGUCACUAAUGCCCGUGGGUAUUUUUAAGCUUGUCUUUUGUAUUUUGCUCAUAGUACUCCUGUUACAAGGUGGCCAGUGUGCUAACCGUUGGUGGUCCCUUUUCAUUUUAUUAGUAAGAUAGAAGAAAUAUUUACCCUAGGUGUACAACCUUCCAGUUGAGAUGGCCAUUGUGUACACUCUGAUAACAUGAGAGAGUUGGCAUUUCUAUGGGUAAAUGUUAGUGCCUAAACUGGUUUGUGUAGCUUCUGAACCCCAACCAGGCACCAAUUGAAUCCUUCCGUUGCAAGUUGAUGAGCCCUUAAUAUGAGAAAGAGGACAUUUCUAUGGUGUAGGGCCUAAAUUUAAUGACCUUGGUUUGGUGCUUCUCAUAGUUUCCUUUUUCCAGAUUAAUGCCAAUUUAAAAAAAAUCAGCAAAUGUUCGUACAAAGAAUUCAGUAAGUACAAGAAAGAUUACAAAUAUUUGGCAGCUCGCAUCCAGCGUGCCCCUAGACGCACAUUCCAUUUCUGCAAUCGGUGGAUGUCUGUCAAGUUAGAAAUUACUUCCCUUUCCCAACAAGAUCAUGGAUGGUACAAUGCGGGUGGUUGCUGAGUUGUGCAUUAAAGACCAUGCAAUGUCAAGCG